ensembl:lncRNA
AAAACGUCCAGACUGCUUUUGACUGCCGACUGUGGGGCAACCAUCUGUAGAACAAAGCUUUUAUUGUUUUAGAAGGAAGCUGCCAUUUUUCUACCAACUAAAUACACGUUUACUUUUAAAGUUCACAGUUAACUCUUUCUCCUUAUUGGCUGCCCCUCGAAAGUUGUGUCUGACCAUGUUAGGAUAUCUGCUUGCACUGACAUCGUGCAAAAAACUCUCUGAAACUUCAUAUUUAGAGCAGUCUGAAUCCUGAAUUUUUAACUAACAGGGAUGACUUGUAAAUAUUUGGACCUCAUUAUCUGAAACUGUGGCCGUAUUUAAUGUGAGCAUGCACUAUUUUAAUAGUUUAUAUGUGGCAGAAAAUAAUGAAAAAGCAUCAUAAGCCCACAUUCCCUUCUCUGCGUUCCCACUGGGAAUAACAUGAAUGUCUAAUGCUCUGUGGAACCGUACUGGAGACAUCAGAGUGCUUUAUAUGCAGGGAUGGUGAACUUAAAGCCAGUGACCCGCUGAGGAAUUUCUGCGACUGCAAGAAUUUACUUGCCCAUCACGUGUGUCUGUCCACAUGGAUCCAGAGGGGAUGUGGGAGUGAAGACAGAGUGCGAUGCAUCAUCUGCAAGGCCAAGUACCAGCUGCAGAGGAGUUCCCCGUGGCGGUCGGUGAGCUUCCAGUGGCAGACGUGGCUCGUGCUGAUCACGGCGACCGUUUUGAUGAGUCUGGUGCCCUACGCUGUUUACUGCAUGAUGACAGCCUUCACCAACCCUCCUCCUCCCAGCACCUUUAAAGUGGCAGCAAUUUCCUUCGGUAUACUGACAGAGACCCUGCUCAUCAAGUGUCUGUGGAGUUACUUCAGCUCUCGGUACCGGCAGGCUGCGCAGAACUCCUUCGUAGUCCAGCCCAGAGGCUCGACGGAAGACAGAAGCAACCCCGGCCUCUGGGAUCGGCCUGAGGCCGCCUCAGCAGGUCACGCUUCAUCAGCAGCCUCACCCACUCACGUGGAGGAGAGGAAAGUGGAUGUGUUGAAGAGUGGAUGCCUCAGCCUUUUCUGAACCAACAACAGAAGGAGUUUACAGAUUACAGGGUGAGAGUAAAUCCUUGGGGAAUUAGAUGUGUCUGAGAGCCAUUGAAGUUAUCACAUCAGUAUAUCAGUGUGGCAUUUAUAAGAACUUACACUUUAAAACCUAUUUUCGAGGUGUCAAAUAUUCUUGUUUUCCUUACACUCUCACUCGUUUCAGUGGAUAUAUUCACACAUGUUGCAAAUUGAUAACAAGGAAGAGAAUGCACGCAGGCAGCAUGAGUGUAUUCAGGCUCAGAGAGGGGAAAAAAAAGCCUGAAAUUACUCCCUUUCCUUAAUGAUGCCCACACAGAGACAAUGGGGCGCCGCUCUGAUUAGUGUCACCUGUCCUUGUGCAUCUCAUCAGCUCCAUUAUGGCUCCAUCUCCCAUGCUUCUUCUGCUAAUUGAAUAGCCUGUGAAGUGGUGACGAGGACGGGGGCGAGAGCAACGUCUGUCCCGCUGCUGCUUCAGAAAUGAGACUAAAGCUUCCCAGAGAGACACUAGUUCUUAAAACAUAAACCAUUAUCAUACAGACAGAAAGCGUGCUAACAAGUCGCUCUCAUGUUAUAUUACCGUCACACUGUCUGCACACUAUUUUCACCUAUAACUGCUUGGAAUUAACAUUUUGGGCCAUUUGCAGCAAAAGAGAUGGAUGAGAGGAAUGAUAAUCAAACACACAUUGUUUAUUAAAUAUAAGAUUAUUGCUGGUUAGGUUAGCUUAGCACAAAGUCUGGGAACAUGGAGCCUAGCUUUGAUGAAAUCUGCAUACCAGGUGAGCUCUGAAGCUCACCAUCAACCCCCGAUCUGUUGUGUCUUCGGUGUCUUCCAAAACUGACGUUGUGGGCAGUUGAAAGUGGUGUA